rnacentral:rRNA from 1 species
UUAAAAAGCUCGUAGUCGAAUUUCUGGCCGGGAAAAGCCGAUCUAACCGCGCUGCUCCCAGGUCAUCCGUCUUUGAGGGCAACGAGAUAUUCAUUUAUCUCCUGUCGGAUCUGGCAUUUUACUUUGAAAAAAUCAGAGUGUUUCAGGCAGGCUAUCGCUUGAAUACACCAGCAUGGAAUAAUGGAAUAGGGCUAGACUUACUUCUUGGUUCGUUUGACUAGCAAUGAUUAAUAGGGACAGUUGGGGGCAUUCGUACUGGACAGCUAGAGGUGAAAUUCUACGAUUUGUCCAAGACGAACUAAUGCGAAGGCAUCUGCCAAGGAUGUUUUCAUUGAUCAAGAACGAAAGUCAGGGUAUCGAAGACGAUUAGAUACCGUCGUAGUCCUGACCGUAAACUAUGAAAAUCCAGGAUCAGAUGAGGCACCAACUCAUUUGGCACUGUGUGGGAAACCAGAAUCUUUGUUCUUAGGGGGGAGUAUGGUCGCAAGGCUGAAACUUAAAGGAAUUGACGGAAGGGCACACCAGGAGUGAGCUUGCGGCUUAAUUUGAUUCAACACGGGAAAACUUACCAGGGCAAGACAUUUGUAUGAUUGACAGAAUACAGUUCUUUCU